rnacentral:rRNA from 1 species
GCCUACGGGAGGCAGCAGUGGGGAAUAUUGCGCAAUGGGGGAAACCCUGACGCAGCAACGCCGCGUGCAGGAAGAAGGUCUUCGGAUUGUAAACUGUUGUCGCAGGGGAAGAAGACAGUGACGGUACCCUGUGAGAAAGUCACGGCUAACUACGUGCCAGCAGCCGCGGUAAUACGUAGGUGACAAGCGUUGUCCGGAUUUAUUGGGUUUAAAGGGUGCGCAGGCGGUCUGUUAAGUCAGCAGUCAAAGCCCGGGGCUCAACCCCGGCCCGCCGUUGAAACUGGCAGUCUCGAGUUGGAGAGAAG